UCUAACCCGUCCGCUGCGACUGGCACGGAUUUGGCCUUCACUGGUAGCCUGGUAACAUACACUCCCAGGUCUUUCUCUGCCUCUGUGGUGGAUAGUGGAGUGUUUCCCAUGUGGUAUUGGUGUGCUGGAUAUCCCUUCACUGGUAGCCUGGUAACAUACACUCCCAGGUCUUUCUCUGCCUCUGUGGUGGAUAGUGGAGUGUUUCCCAUGUGGUAUUGGUGUGCUGGAUAUCCCUUCACUGGUAGCCUGGUAACAUACACUCCCAGGUCUUUCUCUGCCUCUGUGGUGGAUAGUGGAGUGUUUCCCAUGUGGUAUUGGUAUGCUGGAUAUCCCUUCACUGGUAGCCUGGUAACAUACACUCCCAGGUCUUUCUCUGCCUCUGUGAUGGAUAGUGGAGUGUUUCCCAUGUGGUAUUCGUGUGCUGGAUAUCCCUUCACUGGUAGCCUGGUAACAUACACUCCCAGGUCUUUCUCUGCCUCUGUGGUGGAUAGUGGAGUGUUUCCCAUGUGGUAUUGGUGUGCUGGAUAUCCCUUCACUGGUAGCCUGAUAACAUACACUCCCAGGUCUUUCUCUGCCUCUGUGGUGGAUAGUGGAGUGUUUCCCAUGUGGUAUUGGUGUGCUGGAUAUCCCUUCACUGGUAGCCUGGUAACAUACACUCCCAGGUCUUUCUCUGCCUCUGUGGUGGAUAGUGGAGUGUUUCCCAUGUGGUAUUGGUGUGCUGGAUAUCCCUUCACUGGUAGCCUGGUAACAUACACUCCCAGGUCUUUCUCUGCCUCUGUGGUGGAUAGUGGAGUGUUUCCUAUGUGGUAUUGGUGUGCUGGGUUUCCCCUCCCAAGGUAUAUGGCUUUA